AUUGAACGCUGGCGGCAGGCCUAACACAUGCAAGUCGAGCGGGUGAAAGGAGCUUGCUCCUGGAUUCAGCGGCGGACGGGUGAGUAAUGCCUAGGAAUCUGCCUGGUAGUGGGGGACAACGUUUCGAAAGGAACGCUAAUACCGCAUACGUCCUACGGGAGAAAGCAGGGGACCUUCGGGCCUUGCGCUAUCAGAUGAGCCUAGGUCGGAUUAGCUAGUUGGUGAGGUAAUGGCUCACCAAGGCGACGAUCCGUAACUGGUCUGAGAGGAUGAUCAGUCACACUGGAACUGAGACACGGUCCAGACUCCUACGGGAGGCAGCAGUGGGGAAUAUUGGACAAUGGGCGAAAGCCUGAUCCAGCCAUGCCGCGUAUGUGAAGAAGGUCUUCGGAUUGUAAAGCACUUUAAGUUGGGAGGAAGGGUUGUAGAUUAAUACUCUGCAAUUUUGACGUUACCGACAGAAUAAGCACCGGCUAACUCUGUGCCAGCCGCCGCAGUAAGAC
rnacentral:rRNA from 1 species